GAAAACAAUCAGUCAAACAAAAUUUCAUCAGAUGAGAUAUGUGUUACUACAAACUGCUAUGAGUGCAUGUCAUGCUUUCUCAUAUUCUGUCUUAAUUCAACAACUGGAAAAAAUUCUGAAUCAUAUAAAUUUGGAUGUCAACUCGACAGCAGUAUUGCAGACCAUAUCAAUAAAAAUUUUUGGAUUAAUGAACAGGAUAAACCUUAUAUCAAUUCCAUUUCUAAAAUUGUUUCAACU
rnacentral:lncRNA from 1 species